rnacentral:tRNA from 1 species
GAGGGUAUAGCUCAGUGGUGGAGUGCGUGCUUAGUAUGCACAAGGUCCUGGGUUCAAUCCCUGGUACCAUCA